rnacentral:tRNA from 1 species
CGGGGCGUAGCCCAGUUUGGCUAGGGCGCUACAAUGGGGUUGUAGAGGCCGACGGUUCAAAUCCGUCCGCCCCGA